UAAAGCAGAUGACGAAUCUAUCUAUGCUUAACACUGAAUUAUUUUGUGUGGAUAAAAACUCCGCUUAUUAUCUGAUGCUACU
rfam:Beta vulgaris subsp. vulgaris chromosome 1, whole genome shotgun sequence.